AAGGGAUGUACGAAUCCAUGCUACAUCCAUAAAUUGGGAAUUAAAAAAACUGAAUGUGCAUAUACAUAAUAUGUCAACUAUUAAUCACUUGCGAGGAUUGGGCGGUUCGAAACUGCGGGAAUUUUUAUAUACAUACUGCUAUUAAAGAGAUAAUGACGAAUUGAUUUACAACUUUAUGUGGCAGGGUAAUGCAAGCACAAUAGCGUUAGGCAAAAUAAAAUUCAUCAAUGUUAUAUAUUUUGCAGCUAAAAAAUGUCCGUUCUUUCGAGGAUUCGUUGAUAAAAAUGAAAUGAAGAUACAUGCUACAAGUUUUGAGAACAAUUAAACAACACUAUAAAAAAAAUUGGAAAAAGCAGAAAUUCUGAACUCCCAAGAUAAUGAUCAAUUGAUCGAUGAAUCAUCUCGCGAAUGCGAGAUACAGAUUACUAAAGCCAUCUAUUGGAAAAAUAAUGGAUUUCUUUUUACUAUACCUAAUAUAUCUUUCGGUAUUGUAAUAUAAAAGUAAUUUCUGAUAAAUACCCUAUUCAAUAAAAGGUAAAAAGAGUAAACAUUCUUUUGGAAAUCAGAGAAGAUCAUAGUUUUAUUU